CCCUUAGAUGUUCUGGGCUGCACACGUGCUACACUGGCAGGUUCAGCGAGCUUCAUGCCCUGAUCUGAAAGGAAUGGGAAAUCUUUUCAAAACCUGCCGUGCUUGGGAUAGAUGUUUGCAAUUAUUCAUCUUCAACGAAGAUUGCCUUGUAAGCGCACGUCAUCAGCGUGCAUUGAAUACGACCCUGUAUUCUGUACACACCGCCCGUCGCUCCUACCGAUUGAAGUUUUCGGUGAGUUGACAGGAGGAUUUUUUUGAAACUGGUUCGCCAGUGGAUUUUAGAUCCAAAUGCCAACGAAUCGAUGGCUUUAGAGGAAGGAGAAGUCGUAACA
rnacentral:rRNA from 1 species